UUGCUCUGUUGCUCAGACUGGAAUGCAGUGGUGCUAUCAUGGCUCACUGCAGCCUCAAACUCCUCAGCUCAAGUGAUCCUCCCACCUCAGCUUCCUAAAUAACUGUGACUUGAGGCAAGCACCAUGCCUGGCUAAUUAAGAAUUUUUUUGGUAGAGAGGUUUUACUGUGUUGCCCAGGCUUGUCUCAAAUUCCUAGCCUUAAGCAAUCUUCCUGCCUGGGCCUCCCAUAAUAUUGAGAUUACAGGUGUGAGCCACCAUGCCCGGCCUAUUGGACUGCAAAGUCACAUAGCUAAAAGUCUGUGUGCAGGGAGGGAUGAAGAAUUGAGACGCGUCCACAGAAGUGAUAAGAAAAAAAAAGGACAUUGCAGAGGGCAAAGCCAAGAGGUUUGGAGAGUGGUGGAUAAGGAGCUACUCCAGGAAGCAGAACAAGGACUAAGUCAGAGCCCACUUUGCCACUCCUGUGAAGGUCAGAAGUGCCUGGCAAUUAACGGCUUAGCAGGAACAGCCCUCAACCAGUGACCGAUGGGUGAAUGAACACAGCAGCUCAAGUGGGACAGCCUUGAGGGCUGCAGUGGCACCUGCUAUAUGAGGCUGAGAGGAGAGGCUGCUCAGACGCAGAGAGCCCAGUUGAAAUCUACCCACACUUGCUAUUAAAUCACAAGCCGUCCACACAAAGAACAAAAUCCAACCAACAGCUACGGGGCUCCGUGAGGCAGUGGACACCAGUGCUGCAACCCUCAUGCCCCGAAAUGCACCUGACAUAUGGGACAUGGAUGGAGCUGGAAGCCACGAUCCUCAGCAAACUAACACAGGAAUACAAAACAAAACACCACAUGUCUCAUAAGUGGGAGCUGAAUAAUAAGAACACAUGGACACAGUGGAAACCACAAUAAAGGGUGUUGCCUGCAUUUUCCUCAUCAUUCCCUCUGCCUCCUGACUGACCCUGGUGCGUGACCAGUGGAAACCCCCACUCCUGGCACUUUAUGCCGUCCCAGUCUUGGGAACUAAAGCAUUCCCAGACAGCUUAUUACGAUGCAUAACAUUUGACUAACAUAAAUUCAAAGUCGAGCAAAUGAAGGCAAAAAGGCAGAAGGGAAGAGUGAAAAUGGACCCAGAAAUAGGGCGAAGCAUGUCUGCCACACUCGUCUACCUGCUGACCAUGGGUGAACCUCAUGGUGAGCUGUUGACCACAGGAUUCACCACAGAAUUCACUCUCCAGAAGACAAAAACUGCUGUGGAGAUUGGAAAAUUUAUCUUAAAAUAUUAAGGUCAGACAAGAACCUCUGUCAAGGAACAGGAAGUCGUGCCCUGAGGAGACAAGUAGAGGCUGUAGCCAUGGGUGGCUUUGGGGUAGUAGCUGUUGGCUGUGCCUAGAAGGACAUCAUGAAAGUUGUAAGUGCUGCUAAUUGACGUCCCCCAAUUCAUAUGCGGAAGUCCUGGCCCCUAGUACCUCAAGAUGUGCUUGGUUUUGGAGCUGGGGUCUUUAAAGAGGUAAUUCAGUUAAAAUGAGGUUGUUAUUAUGGGCCCCAAUCCAAUAUGACUGUUGUUUUUAUAAGAAGAGCUGAUUAGGACACAGACAUGUAGAGGAAAGACCAUGGGAAGAUUCAGGGAGAAGGUGGCCAUCUUCCAACCAAGGAGAGAUGGGCCUGAAGAGCCCAGCCCUGCUGACACCUCGAUCUUGGACUUCCCGGCCUUCAGAACUGUGAGGAAAUAAAUUUCUGUUGUUUAAGCCACCCAGCCUGUAGUACUAUGUCAUGGCAGCCCUAGCAAACUAAUGUCCCCCCCACAUCUAAAAUUGGCAUCAUUUAUGGAGAUGGAGUUGAGCCCAGAUUUCUCUUGGGGGAACAUUGUCUUUGGUUUCUAAUUUGACAAAUGUUUACUGAGUGUAGA
rnacentral:lncRNA from 10 species